AGCGAACGCUGGCGGCAGGCCUAACACAUGCAAGUCGAACGAACUCUUCGGAGUUAGUGGCGGACGGGUGAGUAACACGUGGGAACGUGCCUUUAGGUUCGGAAUAACUCAGGGAAACUUGUGCUAAUACCGAAUGUGCCCUUCGGGGGAAAGAUUUAUCGCCUUUAGAGCGGCCCGCGUCUGAUUAGCUAGUUGGUGAGGUAAAGGCUCACCAAGGCGACGAUCAGUAGCUGGUCUGAGAGGAUGACCAGCCACAUUGGGACUGAGACACGGCCCAAACUCCUACGGGAGGCAGCAGUGGGGAAUCUUGCGCAAUGGGCGAAAGCCUGACGCAGCCAUGCCGCGUGAAUGAUGAAGGUCUUAGGAUUGUAAAAUUCUUUCACCGGGGACGAUAAUGACGGUACCCGGAGAAGAAGCCCCGGCUAACUUCGUGCCAGCAGCCGCAGUAACAC
rnacentral:rRNA from 1 species